rnacentral:lncRNA from 1 species
AACCUUUCGACCUGUCUCACUCUAUCUGCUAAUUUGUGCCAUAUCCCUCAGAUACUGGGUAUCUAGUUUCUUCCUUAUAGAAUAAUCUAGUCCCCCUGCUGGCCAUUUCGACCAACUCAUGUUCUGGGCACCGGGUGAAACAUCUAGCCUUUAGCAAUCUGAACCUAUUUAAAAUAAUCAUCUAUUGGUUCUGAGUGUUUUUCUCUUAACACUGGCUAAUUCUUUCAGACUUAUUUUUGUUUGUCCCAUGUAGAAUUGUCCACGUAUAUUACUGAGUUUGCAGGCAAAAGAUGUAAACCAAGUAAACGCGUUUUUUGUUUAAGAACUAGGGAAUAUUUUAUUUUCAAAUUUUCAUUACGGGCUAUUUCCCCUGCUUCGAUCAGAUAACGUGCUACGUGUUCUAUUGUGGACUCGCUAGUAUCCCUGAGAACUUUUGUAACUUAGGAACUUUCCACCUUGGUGGCAGUUCUUCUUGUAGAAUAUAUUCUGACAGUGGGGAAGCAUAACUAGGCUUUGUAAUCCCAUGUUCAUCCCAUUCUGUGCCAUUACCGUUUCGACCAUGGCGCUAAAUUAUUUUCGAACAGGAGGGUUAUUUAUACCGGAUCCGCUGUUGCAACACAGCAUCCGCGUCCUGGCUCUGGAUUACUAUCCUUCUAGGUUCUUGUGAAAUAGGGACUUCGACACGAGGCUGUUCGACUACAUCCUCUUGGUUUCUGACGUUUGUUGAGGAUUGUCUAAAGGCAUUUGGUUUAUCGUAGCUUCUUCCUGGACCGCCUACCACUGGGUUCUGAACCAUUGUUCUCUGUGUUGAGUUUGAGGGACCCCGAAAAAGUCAGCAAUGCGCGUCAUCUGCGCUGCCAACAAUUGGUUUGUUUGGGUGGUGUUUUGAAUUAGAGGAUUAAACACCGCUCCCAUUUGUUGUGUCAACAUUUGGACCAUAUCAUGAUUACUCUCGUCCAUCUGUUGUCUAAUCACCUGCGCCGAAUUAUUUGUUAUCGGCGGCAUGUAAAGUGGUUGUUGAUUUAGUCUACUCAUGUUUCCGCCAUAUCCUGACCCUUCUAAUGGUGAAGACAUAUUGGCCAUAGAAUCAGAAUACACUACCGGGGAAUUGUGUAGAUUUGCCAUUACUGAAGUUGGCAUUCCAAAUGGUUGUUCCCUACCAGGAAGAGGCAUGGUGAAAUUCGUCACAAAAGGCCUAGAAGUGUUUCCCAUAGGAGGGGGUGUCCCAACAGGCAUUUGUUGCGCCCUAACGGACGAACUAGGCGCAUUUUGCAAAAUUGAAACCGCUGGUAUUGACCCUGUUGACGAAGGCAUAGCCUCUGACACAGGGACUGAUCCUACAUUGCCUCUCGUCGAAAGGAUAGGGUUGGAUACUGGUAUGGCUUCACUUGGAUUAGGAUUAUUUGGAUUAUUUGGCUGAUUUGCCAUUUUCCUUACUCUUGUUCUUUUAGGUAUUUCUACGUCGGAUACGGCUAAUUUUCCGCUUCUCAGUCUCAUACAACGAAAAAAAAAACUUUGACUAACGAUUAUCUAAGUUUUAGAUUUCUGCACUGUCCCACUAGGCGUGCCAAUUUGUUCGCUGUGAAUUUUGGCGAACAACCUCUGGUUUACCAAAACUUGUAGAACUGGGUUACUUGCAGGAUCAACCACACAAAUCCUAGGACAUGUGCAGAUCUAAAUGACUUUGAAGAUAUCUAGAACAACUUUCAUAUCUUUCAUUUUGGUUCUCAAAAUAUUUUAUGUCGAAAGAUGUUGAUUAAACGUUCAAACAGAUGUAAAUUUGACAAGAUAAGAUGAAUGGCAGAAAAUAACUAACGAAAUAUAAAGUGUCGAACAGAAAGUGCAGAAAGAUAAUUGACUGGAAAACGUAAAAGGAAUUUGUACAGAACUUUAAACUUUAUAAAAUAAACUUUGAAGGAGUUGGUGUUUGUUUACACAUACAUGUUCCAAAUAUGACUCUUUUCUCUCACACGGGUACUUUGAGUAUUAUCAGGAAUUUUGUACAAGUAAAUUUUCACACCUUUUUUCGAUAACAACUACCCUAUUUAUAUACAAAUAACAUAACUGUUACUAACGACCAAAUCCUAAAACUGUGACAAAUGGCUUUCUUCUUUUCGCCAGAUGCUUCCACGCGUAUACUAACGACCAAAUCCUAAAACUGUGACAAAUGGCUUUCUUCUUUUCGCCAGAUGCUUCCACGCGUCUUCUGCCAAACGUCACAACUCUUCUGAAUUUGAAUAUUUACACUUUACGUCGAAAUGACAUCUCUCUCCAGACUUUGUCGAAUUGUCGAAAUACUACAACAUCCUCCAUGUCUGUCAAAGGUGCCUUUCCAUCUGCAUAGAUCUUGUCGAAAUGUCGAAGCUUCAAUUUUGUCGAAGUGUCGAACAACACUUAUCAACUAAAACCGUUUAUCCCAUGUCAUCAUUUUUCGAAAGAACCAUUCUGCAUACCAAAUCUCAUGGCGUCGAAAACGCAUGUAUACACUUACUCGCUUAAUAUUAUUCAUCAUUUACUUUAUUGCCUUGUGUUUUUGCAUGUUCUAUUAUACUGGAUAUCUAUAUAUGUUGUUUUUGGGUUGGGGUUGAUACUACAUGAGUGAAGCUCUAUACCCGAGCUUAGUAUACACACAUGAUAGAUUCGUGGAUAGUCAUGUACAAUUGCGUUUCACGCGUUGGAUUGUCUCGAGAGCCAAAACCAGACUAGAUUCACUUGGAAGUACUUUUGUCCUGUGAGAAUUCACUACGGCAUGGUAUUUUCAUUUCGAGUCGAUGACUCUGGGAGACCUUCUAGGGACCACCUUGGAGGAUAGUCCAUACCUGUGGGGGGGAUAUAUGUUUUUUUAUAGGAAACCAUAGACUCUACAUACCUUGGUUCUCAUAUUGUGUUGAACCUUUGAACUUACAACAAACAGCAUAUACAGAUUAUUCAGAAUGUAUCAGAACUUUGAAUCCGUGUGAUCUAUAUCAUACCAUUAUCCAUUAUCAUUCAUCAUGACAAUUUUUUUACAUAUGCCUUUUUUUCAUGAAUCCAAGAGCCCAGUUUAUUGACUAAGCAUCCAAGACAAAGCAUGACUUCCGAAAGAAAGACCAUUCACAGUUAAAAGCUCGUGGAGCCAUAGUUGAAUGUUUUGAGAGGAUUGGGGGCACGUCUAGUUCUUGGGAACAGAGAUGAAUUCAAGAACUCUUAUGGCAACCUCCUAGGAAUUUUGAAUACUGAAGUCAGUACCAAGGUUGUGCACACCCUUGUGCAAUUCUAUGACCCUCUGCUGAGAUAUUUUACCUUUCAGGACUAUUAGUUAACACCUACUUUGGAGGAGUACUCUCAUAUUUUGGGUAUUGGGAUUAAGAAUCAAGUUCUUUAUGUCUGCACUAAGGAGCUCCCUAAGUACCAUAUCCUCGUUGAAACCCUUCACAUAGGGAAGAAGGAAGUGGAGUUGAACCUAGAGCUUAAAGGUGGAAUCCAUGGUUUUACCUCAAAGUUUCUUGUGGAUAAGGAUAUUACCUUCACCGAUGCAGAGAGUUGGACGGAUUUCAAUUCCAUUCCAGGUCUACUUAUCUAUGGCGUAUUGUUUCCAAAUAUGGAAGAAUUUAUGGACUUCGCUACUAUCCAUAUCUUCCUAACUCAGAAUCUUGUUUCCAUUAAUCUUGCUGACACUUACUACUUCAUUCAUGUAAGGACUCAGAAGAAGAAGGGAACCAUCAUUUUCUAUAUCCCUUUGUUGUAUAGAUGGUUUAUUUUGCAUCUACCUAGCAAGGGCUCUUUCUUGGAGAACAAAGACAAUCUGAAGUGGUCCCAAAGGAUCAUGUCCUUAAACACCGAAGAUAUUUCCUGGUACUCUAGAGUUUAUGAUAAUGUCAAACUCAUCCUUAAUUGUGGUGACUUCCCUAAUGUACCUCUUCUUGGUACAAAAGGAGGAAUCAACUACAACCUGAGAUUGGCAUUACAAAGUUGGAAUACUCCAUGGUAGACAAGCCUGAUUCCAAGACUGUAGAAGGUUUAAUUUUACAUGAAGGGGUUAAUAACCUGUAGCUACUUAAGAAGAUUAUCAAGGCUUGAGGAGAGAUAUAUCCUCAAAGAAGAGAAGAAAUGGGUAAGAAGAGCUGCAUAGCCAGGGAAGCUUAUACCAAAUGGGUGAAAGACAGAGUCAAAGAGAUAUUGCUGCCAUUUCUAUCAGAACAAUCUAUCAGCAUCAAGCCUCAUGAACCUAUGAUUAAUCAUAUCUCUAAGGUCUAUGAGCUGAAGGGAAUUAUCAUGGCACUAGAGAAAGAGAAUGCGGAUCUCAAAUCUAGUCUUGGUAAGAUGUCAUUGGAUAAGGAGACCUUAAAGUUCAACCUGAAUCAGAAGAGAGAUAGAACACUUCAAGCAGAAAAUGGGGUGCAAGCUAAGUUGCACAAAAGAAGAAAAGUGGAUGAAGCACUAAAAGGAACUUGUGCUAGUUUGUUAGCAAAAAAGAAUAAGCUAGAAGAAAUUCAAUAUUAGGCUUGUAAAGUGGAUCUUAACUACAAAAAGAAAAUCAAGAAACUUCAAGACUAACUGGAAGCUUGCAAGAAAGGGUUGAAAGAUGAACAAAGUCGUGUCAAACAACUAGAGGUUACUCUUCAUCAGUGCUAGAGUGAGUUAGAUAAGAGGUUUGAAGAGAUUCGCGGGCUAAAGGAUCAAGCACACAAAAAUAUGGAGAGCACUAACCUACUCAAAUAAGAGAAUGCUAGUUGGGAAAGAUACAAUGGACACCUUCAAAGGCUCCUAGACUAGAAGGAGACAUUUUUGAGAGAUCUUCUAGAUGGACCUGAUCACACUUUGCUGCACAACCUUCUUAAGGACGCGGAAUAUUGGAGGGAAAGGCAUGCAUGCCUAACCCAAUUUGCUGAACAUGCCAUGGAAGACUUACCAGAAUUGUUGAAAGAAGCUUUUGUUGUAGUAUUUCCGCAUAACGUCCCUUGGGUUGUAUUUCAUUUCAUUUCUGUUUGUAGGGUGGUAUUUGAUAGGUUUAAAGUUGAGCUUAUUGUAGCCUGUCAGGCAGGCUCUUGAUGUGUAUUUGUACUCCACUUUCUGAUAUUGAAUAAAAGAGUCUCUCUCUUUAUGCUUUAUGUCUAUUUAUGUUGAUAAACAAAACUCAAGGAUUCCUUGGAAUUUUUUCUUUACAAAAAUGAAUAUAUAUGCACAUGUCAAAACUUUUUGCAUGCAUUUAUUUGCUUAAGCCUCCAGAGAACAAAAUGCUUACUCUCUCCAUCUUUCUAUAGCAACUACGAUGACUCGUCAUCGCUAUUAUACUCGUGCAAAAAAAUCCAAAUGCGUGGCUGAUUUUGAAAUCGACAAUGUUGUUGUUAAGGAAACCUUGGCUCAGGUCCAAGUAGAGAUGAACCUCUUCCGAGGUAAUAUGGUGACCAUUAUGGAAUACCUCCAAACUCAUUGGGCUUCUAUCUUUGCCAACCCUGCUUCCAUUUUCGUCACCAGUGUUGUUGUGGUGACCACUAUUGGUGAUGUCGUUGCCACUAUCAAAACUCAUGUGGAGACGGUGGUACCAACUACUGUGAAUCAGCCUUUGUUUACUUAUGCUUCUAAUAGGCUUGUUGUUGCCUGCCCAUGGGGAAUGCCCCCAAACUUCACUGCUCAUUUUGCUAAUGGGGGUGCCUUUAUUCCUCAUUUAGCUUUUAUCGCUCGUACUGCUGCUGGGAAUUUUGUUUUCCCAUGGGGUGUGCCUAUGGUCCAGACUCCUCAAACGAUUGAUGCUGCCAACUCUAAGAACCACCAAGGUCAGGUUUUGACAAUGAAGUAGAGUACUGAGGCCCCCGCCUCUAUUUUCAUAUUCCUUCCCAGGAAGUUUAUCUUGCAAAUCUGAAUCACUUACAAGCUGCUCUGUUUGCUUACUCUGGGGAAACUUUUGUUCUGAUACUAUCAUAUGCAUCUGCCAACCCUGCACUCAUGUACGUGCAGGCUAGGGAACCUCAGGCCCCUAAUGCUCAAGAUGGAUGGUAGUUCCUUCAUAUGAUGCACGAUGCUUCCCAAAUAGUGCUUCCCAGUUUCUCUUAUCCACUGCAGAUGUUGUUUACUCCCCAAAUUGUGCAUGCUCAGGAGUUUGCUCAAGACACCUCCCGACCAGCCAGCCAGGUCGUCGUUCCUACUGCUAGUCUGUCAGGCCGGCAGACUACCAAUUAUUGGAUGAUAGAAGAAUGGUUAUCGAAGGUUUCUAUGCCUUCGGCAUAAACGCAAGAGAUUUAUGCUUGGUUCCAAAUGUGGUACUCCCUCAUAAGUUCAAAGUACCAGAUUUACCAAUAUAUAAUGGAUUAAGUUAUCCUCGAAGCCACAUUACAAUGUAUUGCAGGAAAAUGGCAUCGUAUGUUGACAAUGAUGAUCUGCUAAUCCACUGUUUCCAAGAUAGUCUGUCAGGGGCUUCCUUGGACUAGUACAUGGUCUUAGAGCGUACAAAGAUUAGAUCCUAGAGAGAUUUAUCUGAAGCGUUCUUAAAGCAGUAUAAGUACAACCUCGAUAUGACACCGACAAGAUUGCAGCUACAUAAUCAGUCACAGAGGUCCAACAAGACUUUCAAAGAGUAUGCUCAAUUUUAGCGUGAAAUGGCUUAUAGGGUCAGAUCAACUUUGUCGGACAAUGAACUUGUUGACAUCUUCAUUGGUACGCUUCAAGGGUUGUACUUUGAGAAAAUGAUUGUCCAUUCUUCCACCAACUUCCCAGACAUUGUGACCAUUAGUGAACGUGUCGAAAAUGGGGUUAAAUCGGGAAAGAUCGUAGGUACCAUCGCUCAGCAAACCACAAAUAAGAAGUUGUAUGAGGGCUUUACAAAAAAGAAAGAAGGGGAGAUAAAUGUUUUAACGGUAAAUGUCCACACCCAAUAUCAAUUUCCUAUGGCUCCCAUGCCAUAUUAUCCAUACCCGUAUGUUUCCGCCACUCAGUAUCAACAACUUCCGCGUCAGUACCAACCAUAGAAUCGCAAUCAACAAACAACACCGAAUCAGAAUGCUUAGAAUCAAUAGAACACUUGUGACAAUAAGGGCCAAGGUCAAGGCCGAAAUAACAGGAAUAAUUAUGGUAAACAUCCUGAUUUUGAUCAGAUCCCUGUACCAUAUGCUGAAUUGGUGUCAUAUCUGAUCCAUGUAGGGGCUAUUAUGCCAAGGGAAAUCCCACCAUCCAUUCCUCCUUAUCAUCCAAGGCCUAAUUAUAAUGCCUUGUGCGCCUUCCAUGUUGGGUAUGUAGGACACUCCACUGAAGAUUGUUGGCCGCUCAAAAAUAAAAUCCAAUAGUUAAUUAACCAGAAGGUUUUGUCUUUCUCAGAAUAAAAUCCUAAUGUGAAAAGAAACCCCUUUCUUAAUCACGGUGACCCAGCAGUCAGUGUUGUAAUUGAAGAAGAGAUUGCAGAAUCCGUCAAGACAGUUGAUGGUGUGAAGACUCUGAUGUCGGUAGUGUUAAAAAAUCUUGAAAAUUUUGAGUUUCUGGUUGGUAUUCAUGAAGAUUUUGUUGUGUGUAAAAUCUGAUCUGGAUAGUUAUGGCAAUCUGAAGGGCUGUGUGCAAGAGUUGAUGAAUCAAAGGUUGAUAUAGUUCUCCAGAUCUAAAGUAGUUGAAGAGAUUGAAGUGAUUGAGCCUAUAACCAUUGUGUACAGGAAGAAGAAGAACGAAGCUCCUCCCAAGAGCAUUCAAUUGAUCCAUAUAUGUGUUCCUAGUCCAUUCUCGUAUCAGAAUAUCAAGGCAGUACCUUGGAAGUAUGAAACGACUGCAUAUGUGGGUGGAAAAGAAAUUAAAAUCUCUGACACUGAAAUUGUUAAUAUAACUAGAACGGGAGGCAUGACUCGUAGUGGUUGUGUAUUCACUCCAAAAUACACUCCUAGAGUGUCUCCAUCACCCACAGUUGUCCUGCCUAAAGAGAAGGUCCUUCUUAGUCCUCCUCUGCAGGCAGGGGCAUCUAUACCCGACAUGUUUAUCGUGACAACUGUUCCAGCAUUAACAAAGAUUAUUCCCGAUAAAGCUGCAUAAUCUAAAACUUCCAAGGGUAAGGGGCAGAUGGUUAAAGAUGAAUAGGUUGAAGGUCACAAGAAGAGUAUCUCUUUUGAGGAAGGACAAGAACUCCUCAAAUUGAUCGAGAAGAGUUUCUUCAAUAUUGUUGAUCAGUUGGGUAAGACUCCUUCCAAAAUCUCCAUUUUUUCUUUACUUCUGAGUUCUGAUGCUCACCGUAAAGCACUGUUAAAAGUCCUGAAUGAUGCUCAUGUGAUGCACGAUAUCACGGUCGAUCAAUUUGAUGACGUGUGUAAGACCCCAAUUUUGACCCUAAGAUCCCUCAUGAUAUACCAUCAUAUGCAUUGGCAUUGGGAUCACACCUUGACAUCCUCCUUCCCCCUCAUUCAUUGGGUUUGCAUUGAGAGAGAUCACCAAGCACCAUUUAAUUGUAUCAUACUUUGUAUUUUCUCAUUUUUACUAACCAAAAUACCAAAAAUAUGUCUUUGCAUAAUCUAACUCUUUUGUAGGUAGAGUACAUGCUCACCUUUGGUCUAUCAAGCUCACAUCUAGGGUUUAAGACCCUCAGUGCAAGGAGUUCAAUCAAGAAUUGGUAUACUAUGGCUCUAGGCAUCAUAUAUGGAUCCCCAUGAGAAUCACAUGUUAUUUUGAUCAAGAACUCAUCAAGAGUUUGGAAUUGUUUUGUAGUGGAAACACUAGUUCAUAUGGGUAUCUUGUGUAACUUCUUCAACAAUUGAUCAAAGAUUUCAAGGGAUACUUCAAAUUUCUUCAUAUUAUGAAUAUAUGAUUUCCCAUGAGUCCCUAAAGUUAAGAGAAUUGCAAGUUAGCAAGUUGGUUGAUGGUGGUUGACUAGAGGAAUUCAACUAAUCAAAAUUGGGGUUCCCUAGACCCUAUCUCCUACAAUAUUUGUCAUAUGAAAAUGAUUCCAAAAGAAACGUUACUGUAAGUGACAUUACAAACAACUUUCAUGUUGAGGUCUAGAGCUAGUUUUUCUUGGAAAGUCAUCUUUUAUGGUGAAAGAUUAUAGGUCAUUUUGUCUAAACCCUAAUUUGGAGGUCAACUUCCCAAGGUCAUAACUUGCUCAAUUAUUAUGAGAUGAAAGAUUUCCAAGUUUCACAAUCAAAUUCAAUAUGUCUACUUCAACUUUGAUGUUUGGAGGAAGAGCAAAUUCAACUUUUAUGAGCAUGUGAUAUGAGGAUACAUUAUAGGUCAUUUUGGACCAAUACCAUUGAACAAGUGAUUUUCCUCAACUUCAAAAAUGCAUACCUCCUUCAUAUCAAAUCCAAAUGAGGUAAAACUUAUAACCAUUUUGAAGUACUUUGAAAUAGAUACAACUUUGAUGAAGGAACUUCUCUCAUUUGAAACUCACACAAAAAGUUAGCCAAGGUGGAAUAAGUGAACAUAUGGCGUGACACUUAGAAAAAAAUUUGAUAUGUUAAAAUUUCCAAACUUCCACCUCAAAUUUCAUCAUUAUACAAGCUUCAAAUGGAUAAGUGUUCAACAUUAAAGUUGUUCCUAUUGAUCUAACCUUUCCAAAAAGUCCAAUUUCAUCCAUUUUGGACAAGAUUUGAAUGGGCUGCACAUGGCUUGAACAUUGUAUCAUCAUUUGGCAAAAUCAAACUUCAAACUUCCAUGUACAUUUGUCUUGCAUUCCAAGUUGAUUUUAGACUUGCUCACACUCAAUUAUGGAUCAAAUGGAAUGAUCUCAUGGGCAUGUACACGUCCAUGCACACAUGCAUCACUCAUUGCCAAUUUUGGAAACUCAAUUGUAAGGUGCAAAUAUCAUGUGAUUCAGCUAUAAAUAGAGGCUCAUAUGCUCAGAAUUAAGGACUCCUUCGCGCGAGCUUUGAUCCCAAACAUAAAACCCUUCCAUUUGAUAGGAUAAUCCUGACAAUUUCCUUUGGAAAUUGAGUUUGAAUCUCACUGUUUUGAGAUUCAAAACUCCAGGGAUCCAAGACCUUUUGUACAUUUUAAUCUACUUCUGCAAGCAUCCUAAGAAAUAUCAAGCACAAGCCAAAGCAAGAACAAGUGAAUCCAGACCUGCAUUGAAGGUAUUUUCCAGAAAAUUUCAUCUCUUCGAUUCUCACUCAAUUCUCCAUAAUUCUCUUGGAUCCUUGGUAGUCUGAAGUCCUAGCAAUAUAGGCAACAAGAUUGAGUUGCUUUGAGGUCAAAUUGAAGCAACUCAGAUCAUGCACCUCAAAUUUCAACUCCUUGUAUCUCUCAAUAUACUUGGAGUUGGGAUAAAUUGAGGCCAGAUUCGUGCUCAGUGCCAUUUUCACUUUAAAAUCAUGUCCUCUAUUUUUAUUUUAGUGAAGGUUAUGAUUGGACCAGUCCGGCGAGGCUCGCCUGAGAAGGAGACCGGAGAUUUGCUCUGGUGGUGAGUUAGCAAGGUCCAGAGCCACAUGAUCUGUUUGAUUUGUUCUAAUCACGAGUGUUGGUUUGAAUUACCAAGUUUGUGGCGCGCUGACUAGAGUCCACAAUGGAUUGCGCGUUUGUGGCCACUUGAUUUACCACCUCAAUUAAUGAAAUUUUUCUACAAGGUCCUUUAACCUUGUUUGACCUAUGAUAAAUCUCAUCGUCAUUUCUUUGGUGUCAAUUUAAUGCAUAUUUUAGUUGAUUUUAAUUGAAUAAAUGUCAAAUAAAUUGUGUUGAGCUUCUAUUAUUGACUUAUUGAGUUUGACUUGUGUUGUUGGGCCUUGGUCAAGGUUGAUUUUACUUUUCUAAGUUAAGAUCAUUGGAUUUAGGGGAAUGAUGAAAUGUACAUUUCAUCUCCCAAAAUGAAUGAAUGAUCUUAAUUUGGUAAAAGUCCUUGUUUUACCAAUUUGUGUUGAUUUCAUUCCCCCUCCCUCUUGAUCUCAUUACUCUUCUUUAUUCAUUCAUGUCAUGGACCUAUGAUAUCUCUAUAUCCUAAGGCUAGUUGAUUGCAAAAUCAACAUGAGUAUGGAUGAGAUUAGAUCCACCACACUUUUGCAUAUUCUUUUUGCGUGUGGUAUCUUUCGUGAGCAUAGUCCAUUAUAUUAUGUCUCUAACAUGCAUUAACACCAAACUUCUAUUGCCUGGUCUCAAAUAGUUGUGAAUUCUGCAUAAGUCCAAUUACGAUUGCUUAACAUAACGCUAAAUUUGUGACACAAAAGGCAUAGCAUUCUAGUAAGUAAGAUUGUAAGUCUCCCCUCUUUCAUGGUAUUGUAUGGAAACUUGGCCUUUUUUUCCUUCCUUUGGAAGAUGUCUUGGUUCAAGGAUCCAUGCAUGUGAAUAGUGGGUUGAGUGUUCUCCAAAGAAUGACUUAAACAAUACAAAGCAAAAGCAAUACUAACUUCUAAUCAACUAACAACUAACCUUUAAUUUCAAGCCAUUUACUUUUAUGCACUUUAAUUUCAAGCUUUAUUCAUUUGCCAUUAUUCAUACCGUUCAAUUUAUUUACUUUAAUGCCAUUUUCAAUUUUCCACUUGGGCCAUAAUUUGUGAUAUAUUGUGUUUGUAUAUACUUGUUUGUUUGUAUGGUCUUUUGACCUUAAUGUACAUAAUAAAAACAAAAACCCUAAAAGACAUUUGUGCGGACUGUUGGAUUUGAUCUGAGACAAUGGACUUAGAAUUAGGAAACACUCCCUAUGCAAAAGGACUUGUCCAAUGCCAACUUUCAUGAAACCAAGUGCUUGUGAAGUGAAUUUUCAACUGAAGCAAGUAUUGUGAUCCCAUCUGAGUUCAUCUGUUACAUGGUCUUAUUGAAGCUGUUACUUUGAACCUGUGUCUAAUGCCUACUUUUGGAAGUCAUCUGAUGCAUGGGAAAUUUUGAAGAAGAUCAUGGAGUUGCUAAGCUUGGAUGGGGCUAUCUUUAUUUGAUGCCUUGAUCUUCAUCUUUCUAUUUGUGUAUUGAUAUUGCUUGAUUCUAAAGUCCAAGGGAAAUUUGGGUUUCUAUAUGACAUUCUUGUCUAUUGGAUUGCAGCCCAUUGGUUAGAUAUUUUCAACUCUUAACUUUUAAAUUUGUGCUUAGGAUUAGUAUCUUCAUCUCUCCCCCAUUUAUUUAAUUUCAAAUCUCUCUCUACUUUCAAAAAUCUUCUUUGCUAGUGUUUGUUUUCUAAACUUAUACCAUUUUGCAAAUUAGAAACUUUGGCCUUAUGCCAUUGCAUUUUUAAAACUCUUUUCUUUGUCAAAUUUGUAAAUGAACUUAACUAUACUUGACUUAAAAUUUCAAAAGCGAAAAAGAACUAACACUCAUUCCAACCAUUUUUAGGCCUCUUGUGCCUUUGUUAAACUUAAAUUUUGUUAAAAGAAAUCCACUCACUUUGAAAUUGAUACCACAAACUACGAGGUUUUGAUCCCUCAUUUUAUGUUGGUACGUAGGCAUAAGUCUGAAGGUCUUAUCAAACACAAAAAUACAAUUAAUGAAUUAUUUUCUCAUCCCCCCACUCUAUUUAUUGCAAACAUCAUUUGGUACAAAAACACAUAUGCACACAAGAAAGGGCUCCCUAGGAGUACCUAGGACACUUUGGGUGCUAACACCUUCCCUCUGUGUAACCAACCCCCUUACCUGUAAUCUCUGGCAUUUUAUUAGUUUUGAUAGGGUGCUAACACCUUCCCUCUGUGUAACCAACCCCCUUACCUGUAAUCUCUGGCAUUUUAUUAGUUUUGAUUUGAAAAUUUCUUAUUUUUGGGUUUUGUUCGUACUUUUCCCUUUUCCCUUGGAAACGAUAAAAGCGCGAUGGCGACUCUGGUUUUAUUGACGUCUAGCUUAUCUAUAGCUUGAUGGUCAUGAAUUUACCGCCAUAGAAAUUAAGUGGCGACUCUACUGGGGAGUAGUCUCCAGUGGGUUUAGCCUACUUUUUCGUGUGUAUAUAAUUGUAUAUUUUGAUGUAUGUAUAUUUGUUUGUGUGAUAUAAUGUACUUGUUGUGCUUGGUGAUCUCUGAGUGGUGAAAUAAGUUCUAACAUGGACUUGAGUGAAAUUACGAUAAGAGGAUGGUAUAGUCAUGUUCGACUUGUGUGGAGUAGUCCUUAACAAGUUGGAUUGAGACCCAUCUACUCAGUGGAUACCCUUUUGGAGUUAUGAAUGUUACACAAGUUAUUUGUGGUUAGGCAUUACUUCCUCUGAUUUGGGGUCCGAGAAGUUGAGGACCGUAGAACAUUUAACCCAUCUUGGCCUAUUUAAGACGUAGUGCGGAGACUGUUCAAAUGUAGACUUGAUAAUAGUUGUCACGCGAUACUACACUCAGACGAGUUUCUCUUGAGAUAUUAUGGGUUGAUGAGUCAGUCAUCCUAACUUGUAAUAUCCGAUAGAUGGAAUUAAGACUCUGGGAACUUUUUAGAACAUGAUCUACAGGUUCUUAUCCUUAGUACACUCCUUUGGGAUGGUUCUUACCCAGACUCCAUGCUCGUGACUCACAACAAACCCUUUGAUUCUUGGUUGAUCCAAUCAAGUCUUGUCAAUAUCAAUGGAACUUAGGUGUUGAUAAGGCGAAAAACAUAAUCCACUAAAAUGGAUGAUUGAUCUUGACAAUGCCUUGAUUCAUCCCUUGACCUUUGUUUGGUUUCCUUGUGUGUGAUCCCUUAUUUGUGAUUGUUGCAUUCAUGCAUUCAUGCGCAUCAUAACAUUCAUCACACGAAAAAUAAUUUCAAGAAACUGAGGUCUUAUUUGUAACUAUUUUCAGACCAUGGAUUGUGGACGUAGGAACACUAAGAAGUACAGUUUUAGAAGUCCGGAUUUGAAAGAGUUAAGGAAGGUAUCAUCUUUUGUAUUAGGUCUCUUGGACUUCAAGCUACGUCAUGGGAAGCUUCUAUCUAUUUUGUGUGCUGAUGUGGUUGAAGGAAUUUUGAGUGUGUUGGUUCAGUUAUAUGACCCUCUCUACCGUUGCUUCACUUUUCCUGAUUAUCAGCUUGUGUCUACGUUGGAGGAGUAUUCCCGUCUGUUGGGAAUACUUGUUUCUGACAUAGUGCCUUUUAGUGGAUUGGAAGAGAUUCCCAGAUCUCAUCUUAUAGCUGAAGCUCUUCAUCUGAAGAAGUCUGAGAUAGAGGCUCAUUGGGUGAAGAAAGUAGGAUUAUUUGGGUUGACUUCUGAUUUCCUCAUCAAGGAAGCUACUGCCUUUGCUCAAGCCGGUAGUGUGGACGCUUUUGAAACCAUCUUUGUGCUGCUCAUCUAUGGAUUAGCUUUGUUCCCUAACAUUGACGGUUUUGUUUAUGUUAACGUCAUUAGAAUAUUCUUGAUUGGGAAUCAUGUGCCUACUCUUUUGGGUGAUAUGUACUUAUCUUUCCAUCUAAGGAAUUCUAAGGGUGGUGGAACUAUCGUCUUUGCGUUCCUCUUCUGUACAAGUGGUUUAUUUUGCACUUGUCUCAGACGCCUACUUUUGUGGAGAAUAAACAAUGUCUAAGGUGGUCUCAGAGACUUAUGUUUCUCACUAAUGAUGAUAUAGUUUGGUAUGAUUCUUCAUUGGGUAGCUUGGAGAUUAUUGACAGUUGUGGUGAAUUCUCUAAUGUACUUCUCAUUGGUACACAAGGAGGAAUCAACUAUAACUCUACUUUGGCUCGUCGUCAACUUGGAUUCCCCUUCAGAGAUAAACCUAAUAACACUUUGUUAGAAGGUCUUUUCUAUCAAGAGGGUAAAGAUCCCCAUCGUUUGAAGCAGAAUAUUAUGCAUGCUUGGCAUAAUGUGCAUAAGAAAGGAAGAUCCGAGCUUGGUCCGCGCAAUUGUGUAGCUUUGGAAGCUUACACUCUUUGGGUGAAGAAGAGAGCUUUGGAGUUGAAGAUGCCUUAUGCUUGUGAAAGACCUGUGUCUAUGGUUGUGGUUGAGCCAUUAACUCUCCCUAACCAAGAUGUAGUGGAGUUGGAAUACGCGCUCGCCAAGAUGAAGCAAGAGAAGGAUAGGUGGGAAGAUCGUUUCCAUGCUUUGAGUAGAAAGCAUGAGGAGUUGUAGCUUGAGUCUAAGGACAAAGAUGCACUUAUUGAGCUUCUUGAAGAUCGGGUAAUGAAGAGACAGAGAGAACUAGAGGGUCCAUCUUCCUCUAGUAUGUCUCAGCCUUCCAUCGCUUGGAAGAAGAUUGUUGAUCAACUUGUCCUUGAGAAGGCUCAGAUGAAGACUUCUUUUGAAUCCGAGAUUCGACGCAUUCGAAGGAAGUAAGCACCUACAGUUAGAUCUUCUAAUGUUGUUAUUAGGGAUCCUUAGAAUGACUAGUCUCCUUUUCUCUUGUAUUUUGUACUUUUGGAUUCUGAAAUUGUACUCAGUGUAAUCCUUCCAAUUAUAUAAAUAAAAGAGAUUUUUAUGGUCAAUCAAAUUGUUGCAAUCGUUUUUAUCAUAUAUAUUUGAAAAUAAUAUAGUAAGUUCCUUGGAAAAUAAAAACAAUCAAGCAUUGCAUUUCAUGCAUCAUUUGCAUACAGGUUUCUCUUCCGCCAGAUGUCUUAUUGGUAUUUCUUAUGUGCUUCAGCCAAGCUGACUCAUCGAUACAAUACUCGCGCAAAUCACUCAAGGAUCAUGGAACAUCUGGAGCAAGAGAACAGAGAUUUGAAGGACGAGAUCGCCCGCUUGACUGCCAUGAUGGAGUCAGUGUUAGCCGCUCAUAGCCAAUCUUCUCCAACACCUGCAACUCCUCCUCCUCAGAGGACUGUUAUUUCCGAGGUUGCUACCUCUAUCAUUCCUGCUACUGCUGCUCACUUUGCACCGGCCAUGUGUCGCAUCUCGAAAAAUACGAUUCCUCGCGAUGGUCGCGGAAAAAAUUAAUGUUCGAAUAGAGUUGCCAUCGAACUUAAUUUAUCCCAAUGAAGGGAUAGUAAAAUAUCGAUAAAACCUUUAGGAAAUGGAAUAAUGGUCGUCGCAACCAUAUUCGAGUUCGGGAGUGGAUUACGUAAGGGGAAGGUAUUAGCACCCCUUACGUCCGUUGUACUCAACGGGAACCUUUAAACCUUUAGGAAAUGGAAUAAUGGUCGUCGCAACCAUAUUCGAGUUCGGGAGUGGAUUACGUAAGGGGAAGGUAUUAGCACCCCUUACGUCCGUUGUACUCAACGGGAACCUUUUAGUUCUAAUGUGCGUUUCAUGUGUUAAUUUAUGUUUGUUUGUUAUUUUUGGGUUAUACAAUUGUAAAAAAUAGAAAUGGACGAGAACCUCAGAAAGGGAAAGGGGAGGUUUUUUAUUAGUGUGCUCGCGAAGGUACAACAAUCUCCUACCUACGUAUCCUUAUGGUAUAAUAAGGAAAUCAGAGCAUUCGUAGUUCGGGGAACUACGAUUGGUUGGUGUUUUUUAAUGAACAACUGUUUAGACUGCGUUUCUAAAGGCUAAACGUUGGCUUGUCUAGUCUCGGCGGAGGCUUAAGCACUAGUUUGCUGUGCGCAUUAGAAAGGAUUAACAAUGUUCUUUCUGAAAAUAGUUUUGGUCACAUGGGGGUGACAAGUUGGACUAAUAUGUUGGAUGUUUUGAUUGGUUGAGAUGUUUUUGGUUGAAUGACGAUUACUCUGAUAGUUGAGUAAGACAACUCGUAUCCUAACAGUCGGGAAAGGGAAUAGAAGACUCUAGACCACUUUCUUUUUCAUCCUUAAUUAUAGAAAGGAUUUGAUAAUAAUUAGGGUGUUUUGAGUGGAUGACGAAUACUCGGAUAAUCGAGUAAGACAACUCGUAUCCUAAUAAUCGGGAAAGGGAAUAGAAGACUCUAGACCGCUUUCUGUUUCAUUCUUAAUUAUAAAAAGGAUUUGAUAAUUGUAAGACCCCAAUUUUGACCCUAAGAUCCCUCAUGGCAUCAUUACAUUGCAUUUACAUUGCCUCAAGGAUCAUGAGCGUCUUGGUUCCCUUUGCCUUUGGGUGGGAUCUCUUGAGAUGUGGUUUGAGAUCACCAAGCAUGCUUGAAUUGUAUAUUAUUGCUUUCCUCAUUUCUUUUAUUAACUCAAAAGCACAAAAAUAUGUCACUAACAUCUUUUAUUUGUAGCUUGAGCAGUCACAAGGUCUAAAGCUUCUAGGAGAUCCUUUGUGCAAUGAUAUGGUCAAGAGAAGAUGAAAGCAAGCAUGGUAAUGGUUCCGAAAGCUCUCAUCCAUCAAAUAUGCCUCCCAAGUAUCUCAAUUCAUCAUUUUGAUCAAAGCAAGUCAAAGGGUUUGAGGUUUGUUUCCCAAGGAAACCUUAAUUCAUAUAUUCAUCAACUGUGCCUUGCUCUUGAAGAAACCUCAACCCAUGGUCAAAAAAAAAUCAAGGGAAGUUCUUUAAUUCAUCAUUUCAUGCAUUUUUGAACUUAUUUGAGUGUCCUCAAUCAUAAGUUCAUCAAGAUAUAAGUUUUGGACUUGAGAAGUUGAUCAGUCAAUUCAUCUGACCAUUUUGAAAUGCAUUGAGACCUAACUUUUUAUGUGUUAGUCCAAUGGAGAUGACCCCAAGAGAAAUAUUGUUAUUAAGGACAAUAUGAACAACUUUCAUGUUCAUCAAAAUUUAAUUUGAAGCUUGGAAGGUCAUCAUCCAUUCCAAGACAUUAUAGGUCAUUUUGACUGAAACCCUAAUUUUGGGUCAACUUCCCAAGGACCUAAGUCCUUCAUUUUUCAUGAUUUGGAGGUGGGAUCAAAUGAAUUGGAAAGCUUAAUGUUUGUAAUUCAAAUGUUAUGUUGAGAAAAAUUACAAAAUCCCAAAAGAAAUACAUGUGAUAAUGCAAAACAUUAUAGGUCACUUUGGGCCAACUGCAUUGAAAUGUGAAAAAGUCCAACUUCAAGUGCCCAUAACUUCAUCAAAAAUCCAAAUGAUGCAAAAUUUAAGUCCAAAUUUAUUUUCUUGAAAAUAUCUACAACUUUCAUGUUGAAGAUUGUAUUAUUUGGAGCUUGCAUCAUUGAGACAGAGGGGCUUGAACAUUGGCCAAUUUUGGAAAUUUCACAUAUGCAUGUUUUGCACCUUACACUUCAAGCUUAAUUUUCAUUAAUUUCCAAGGCCCAAUUGGAUUUUUGAUCAACAUAGCAUUUGUUCCUUAUGCAAUAAGCUUUCCAACCAUUACCCAUAAGCCUAUGUUUCAAUUUUGGAAGUAUUAUUUUCGAAGAGGAGAACUUUUUAGUGCAUUUUUGGAAACUUGAUUCAAUUGCCAUGCAUGAGCUCACACAACCUAAUUUGCACGUCCAUUUCAUUCAUUUAUGAUAUAAGCCUGCAAUUCCAAUCAGAAUUGGGCCCUCCAUGCGCCUGUACAGGCCCAUGCAUGAAGGCCCUCUUCUCCGAUGCACACUUUGUUCAUGCAUAUCAGUUGGCUUUGGCUAUAAAUACAUGGCAUGUGAGCUCUUAUUUCUUAACCUGAAGGCACCUGAACCUCUGCUGAACUCAAAACCUACCCUCACCAAAGGAACUUUUCUCUUUCUUUCAAAAAUAUCAGAUCUGAAAUUCAAUUGCAUCGAUUGAUUUUUAAGAUCCAUAGUUCCUAGACCUCUUCAGCUUGAUCCAUAGAAGCUUCUGUUUGCAAAAGAACUCAAAGAUAGUGACUCAAUUCAGCUCAAUUCCAAGGUUUUGCUCAACUGCAUUUUGCUUCAAAACAGCUCAUAUAUUGUUCCAUUUGCCUUGAUUUUGUGUGAUUUGAAGUCCUCUGCAUAGAGGCAUCAUUAUUGUGUUCUUAAUUUUUGAAAUCAAGCAAGUUCAGUUGAACACCACCAAAGUUCCAUCUCUGAUUUCUCUCUCAAUAGGGAUCUAGAGUGGAAUUGAGUAAUAGAGGCAUCAUUAUUGUGUUCUUAAUUUUUGAAAUCAAGCAAGUUCAGUUGAACACCACCAAAGUUCCAUCUCUGAUUUCUCUCUCAAUAGGGAUCUAGAGUGGAAUUGAGUGGCAUAGGAGUGACGUACAUCACUCCACCUUUCAUUUGGUACCUGGAUCGUGCGUUUUGGUGCACAUUUGUUCUUCUACAAAUUUGAGCUCUCACCGGAGCUAUCCGGAGAAGACGGUGGCGCUGACCCCUGUCUGGUCUCCAGAUCCAAUCGUGGUCGUCCAUUUUCAUUUCCAGAUUAGAUUUAGGUUGUCCGAUGUUAUGACCAUUUUUAAUUGUUUGUGUGGUUGCAUUGACUCACGUGUAUUAUGGAAGCGUGCUCAGAUCCGUCUGAUCUGCCAGGUCAAUUAAUGAACUGGAUCCAACGCCUCUCCUUUUUUCUUAUUUUUAAUUUCUGAUUUCUAUUUUCUUUUAUUUCUUUUAAUUCCAUUUUAUUUCUAAAAUCCAUAUCUCUUUCAUUAUUGGUCCAAAAAUUAUGGGACCAAUUGCAUUAUUUCUCUUUUAAUUUCUAGUUUCUAAAAAUGAUUUUUAAUAUUUUUUAUUUUGUCAUUUGCUAUUUUUUAAUAAUUUUCUCUUUUCUGGUUAUUUUUAAUUCAUUUUAAAUAGUUUUUCAGAUCCAAAAAAUACCAAAAUAUUUUCUCAACCUCUUUGAACGAUGAUAGAUCUAUGAAAAAUAUUUUCAUCAAUUUAUUAAUUGAUUUGAGAUUUAUUUGAGAUUUUAGUUCAAUUAGGUUAUUUUUAUGCAUUUUUAAUUGAUCAAAAAUAGUUUCUGACUUUUAUAAAUGUUGAAAUUUUUUGUCAAACUUUUUUUGACCUUGUUGAACUUAGGAUAAUUCACUUGGACUUUUCAAAGUUGAUUUGAAGUGAGUUUGAAGUUUGACCUUUCUUUAAUAUUUUAAUUCAAGUUUUAUUUUAAAUAUUAAAAAAUGCCAAAAAUAUUUUGUUUAUUUCUUGACUUCUAAUCUUCAUUUUGCUUCUGUUUUCUAUUGUUUGACCUUGAUCUUCUCUAUCUUUGGUCAUAGCUUGUUGAUUAUCUCAUUCCAUUUCAUUUAAUGCACUUUAAUUCUUCAUGUCUAUUCUUNAGAUUGUUGGCGAACACUUGCCUACGUACCUCUUAAACAAGAUUAGGAUCAAAACCGUCUGUAGUUGGCGUAAAAAUUCAAAAUUGAGUUGGUGAAUUGAUUUGGUCCGAAAGCACUUAAAGGUACUUUUUGUGUUGAUCCAAGGGAGAAAAACUCAAACCUAAAACACAACCCACCAUGUGCAGGAUUAGCUUAACAUGUUAUGAGGGGGUUUAACCCUAUACGAUAAGCAUGGAAGACACAUUGUCCAUCACUAAGGAUAUAGGUGAGUAUUACGAGUCCUAACCUCAAAGCAUAACUCAAGAGCCUGAAUACGCUAAAGGUUUAAAAGAUUUAAUUAAGAAAGUGGCCAUUGAAACCACAAAAGUAUUUGAAUGAUGGUAUUUACGCAAAUGAAUAAGAUAUUUGACAAAAUAUGGUCAAAGGUGAUUUAGAAGUUCAAUUCAAAAAUAAGUGUUAUGAAAAAAGUUUGGGAAAAUCAAAAAAAGCCAUAAGGCUUAGGUUUCCUAAAUGUUGAAAACAAGGUUAAAUGUUGCAAACAAAAGUUUUGGUUUGGGUUUAGAAGGGAGAAGAAGAAUGAAUGGCAAAGUCCUAAUCAUACAUGAAGAGACAAGGGAUAAGAAAACAAGACCAACAAAUGGAGUUCCCUCUCUUUGACGAUCGAUAUUGAUGAAAUCAAGUAGCUCCCAUCUUGGAAUAUGCAAGCAAAAAUUUAAUAGUCGCUCAAGCAAUCAACACAUCAAACAAGCUCCUUAGGCGAAUCCUCAAUGUAUCUGGUUGUAUCUUUCACUUGGAUGAACAUUGGCAAUGGUUCCUUUUAACUCUUGAGCUCUCAUAGGAUCCCCUAGCACAAAAAGCACACACAUCAAAAAGUUCUAUGAAAGUAAAUCAAGAAUGGAACAAGAGUGUUGAGUUUGGGUCCUUCUAGUCCAUCUCAACAUUAAAGGUCCUUGUUACUCCAAUUUGCCAUAGGAAAGUUCUAGAAACUAAGUCGCAUUUGUCCAUAUUCUUUGCAUUUGGUCCACAAACAAUCAAAACAAAAACACAAGCACAAUUAAUUAUACUACACAAUUACGUGUGCUCAAAGUGAGCAAGAAGCAAUUGCAUUAAACAUACAUGUGCUAAAUGAGCAGAAGGGAAAAGAAAUGAUAUAUGUAAGAUAUAGUUAAAUUGAUAAAGUAAGUGCAAGAGUAAAUGUUAAUGGUUAAUUGUUAGUGUUAGUAGUUCAGGUGUCAUAGGCAUUUAAGCGCUAUGUUAAGCAAAUCGUAAUGGAGUUAUUGUGAAGUCACACUAUCUGAGGCGGUUAAUAGUAUAUUUAUGGCAACACAACAAGGUUAGAGGUCUUGAUUGUGAAUCAACACUCUACAACUUGCCAUGGCGCAGAAAGAAGAUGAGAAUGAUCUUGUUUGGUUUAGGUCCUUUUGCAUGUUUUAGAAAGCAAUCUUCCGUUAAUGGAAAGCCAUUCACUUUGAUCAUGUGAUCAAGUGAUUAGAUUUGAAUUCAAGGAAGAUUAAAACCUCCCUAUCAAUGCUAACCAUCGAACCUUUAACUCAUUGAUAAAAAAAGAAAAGAAGAAGAGAAGAAGAUGAAGAAAGUGAAAGAUAGCAUGAAGAAUUAAAGUGCAGCUUAAAUGAUCUCUUGUAUGAUUAGGACUUUAGCCAUUCUUCUUCUUCCCUCCACUCUAACCCAAACCAAAACUUUUGUGCAAACAUUUAACACUUGUUUUCAAACAUUAGAAACCUAAGCCUUAUGCUUUUGAUUUCCAAACUUUCUUUUCAUAACACUUAUUUUGAAUUGAACUUCUAAAUCAACUUUGACCAUAUUUUGUAAAUACUUUUCAUUGGUAAAUACCAUUCAUUCAAAUACUUUUGUGGUUUCAAUGGCCACUUUCUUAAUUAAAUCUUUUAUAACCUUUAGCUAUUAGGUUUGAGUUAUGCUUGAGGUAGAUGUAAUACUCACCUAUAUCCUUAGUGAUGGACAAUGAGUCUUCCAUGCUUAUUAUAGGGUUAACCCCUCACUAACAUGUUGAAGCUAUCCUCACAUGGUGGGUUUGUGGUUUUAGGUUGAGUUUUCUCCCUUGGAUAACAAAAGACCUUAAGGCUUUUGGACCAAUCAAUUCACCAACUCAUUUUUUGAAAUUUUUACCCCAAACUACGAGGUUUUGAUCCUAAUCUUUUUUAAGAUGGUACGUAGGCAAUGGGUUUAUCCAUCCAAACACAAAAAUGUAAAUAACUUGCAUAUUCUCUUCUCAUCUCUUCAAUCAUGUUUGCACAAACAAAUUUUCACAAAAUACCAACCUUACAACAAGUGUGAAAAGGGCUCCCUAGGAGUACCUAGGAUGUUUUGGGUGCUUAAAACCUUCCCAUUGCAUAACCAACCCCCUUACCCCGAUCUCUGACAUUUUUACUAGUUUUUAAUUCGAUAAAAUUUUUAGGUUUUUAUUCGCUUUCUAACCAUUCCUUUGAAUAAAUAGAAGUGCGGUGGCGACUCGACUUGUAUGGUUUACCUUAGAUUUAGUCAAUAUCUCUAAUGGUAACGAAUACCCCACUACAAUAAUAAUUAAGGUGUUUUGAAUGGAUGACGAUUACUCGGAUAAUCGAGUAAGACAACUCGUAUCCUAAUGGUCGGAAAAGGGAAUAGAAAACUCUAGACCACUUUCUCUUUCAUCUGAGUGGUUAUGAAAAUAAGUUUACGUAUGGUUGAUGUAUUUUUAGAAUAGACGACAAGUACUUGAAUGGUUGAGUAAGACAACUCAUAUCCAAGCAUUUGAGGAGAGGAAUCUAAGGCUCAAGACCAUCUCCCUUUUCGUAUAGUUUGUUAUGAAAAUGAUUUGAUUAAGUUGUAUGUUUGUGGAAAAAUGACAAUUGCUCGACUGGCCGAGUAAGAGAACUCGUAUUCAAGCAAUUGAGGAGAAAAGUUGAAAACUCAAAGUCAUCUCCCUUUUCAUUUCUUAUUAUGAAAAUAAUUUGAUUUAGUCGGGUUUGGAAGUUUGUAGAGGAACGACAAUUAUUUGACUAACCAAGUAAGAGAACUCGUAUUCAAAUAAUCGAGGAGAAAAAUUGAAGACUCAAAGUCAUCUCCCUUUUCCUUUCUUAUUAUAAAAGAGUUUGAUUUAUUUGUUCUUAAGUGGGUGGAAGUGACGACUAUUUGACUAACCGAAUAAGAGAACUCGUAUUCAAAUAAUCGAGGAGAGGAAUUGAAAACUCAAAGCCACCCCCCUUUUCAUUUCCAAAUGAAAUGUUGUUUGAUUGUGAUUGGAUACGUUCUUUUAAUUUUUAAUGAAAAUACUCGACAUUGGAUUGAGGUUUUGAUUUUGUGUUUAUGAAUGAAAUGAAUUUUAUUUUAGUGUAUUAUUCUUCUACUCGAUUAAUUAAUAACUGGAUAGGUCUCAUUGUAAGAAAGCCCAAGAGUAAGCUAUGUGAGGUUGAUGGCGAUACUUUUACAAGUAAUCGACUUACAAAGGCGUUUUGAAAAUGGGCUCGACUUUGAAUCGAGAAGUAUGUGUUUUAUUUUUUUGAAAUUGGCUCGAAUGAUUUUAAAUUGGUGAUAACGACAUAAUCUCGUCAUAAUUAUAACAUGUCAUCCAUAUGCACUCGAGACUCGGUAUAAAUAAAUAAAUACAAAAUAAUCAUGCACAUACACUCCACAAAAAUCAACAAUUAUCUAAAUUAUAAGUGAUAUUAAUAAUAAUAUAAUUAAUUAAUUAAAUAUUUAGUAGAUUAUUUUGAUUAAAUAAUAAGUAAUUAAAAAAAUGAUGAUAUAACCAAAUAAUUGCAUAUUUAUCAUUAAAUAUUAAUAAUAGUAAUAACAAUAUAAUUGUGUAUUUACUAUUAAGUACUAAUAAUAAUAAUGAUAAUAAUAAUAAUAAUAUAUAAUUAUAACUUUGAAAGAAAGUAAAUAAAAUAAAAUAAAUGAAAUUAAAGUAAAAAAAUAUUUAAAUUUUGUAAAAUAAUUAAACAACUAUCAUUAGGAAUUAAACUAUUAUAUAUAUAUAUAUAUAUAUAUAUAUAUAUAUAUAUAUAUAUAUAUAUUAUAAGUAUAUAUGUAAAAAAUAUAAAUAAAAAAGAAAGAAUAAGUCAAAAAAUAAAGAAAAUGGGCUAGUGGUGGUGAAAAAUUAAUAAAAUAAUUUAAUCAAAUUAAAUCAAAGAUACCGAUGAAUUAAUUUAAAUAAAAUAGGGUCUACUUAGGAUAUUUAAGUAAUUUAGAUUAACAAAAAUAAUUCAGGAUAAUGAGUCAUUAAAUUAAAAAAAUUAGUAAAUUGAAUUGUUAGUUAACUAAUUGAAGCUAAUUGUUAGCUAACAUGAUUAUCUUUUAAAUCCUCCACACAGUAAAACAGAAGAAAAAGAAAUGGGCUAAAACCGAAUUUAAUGAAAAAUAGGAAUAAACAAAUGUGCUUUUUUUGACUGAACAUAUGCUAUAUUCUAAUAUGCAAUGUCACCUAGUAUUCAAAGUUAAUUUAUUGUUUUUUAUUAAUGAUGCAUUGAAUAAAAUAACAAAUAGGGGUGGCUGUCAGCAUAGCCCACACGGUAUCCCCAAGAAAAAUCAAUUACUCACCAUAAGAACCUUCCAUAUACUAACAUAUGACACCUAAUGAUGUUUAAAGAGAAAUAAACAAUAAUAAAUGAAAAUUAAAGUAAUGCUUGGAUAUUUUAAAAAACGUAAGGACGAAAAACGUUCCUUCACAAAACCAAUGCACCUCUUUCUUAAUCUAACACCCUUUCCUCCUAUCCAUUUCUUCUCUCCAAAAGGGUUUAUGAAAAAAAAGUUCAGUUCACCAUCAAGUUUAUCGCACAACAAAAAUAUUCAAACACAAAGAUCUACCUCAAACGAUACAAAACCCCAAAUCUCAAAAUUAGCAACGAAAUUUUGCAAACAAAAGUUUAUCGCACAACAAAAAUAUUCAAACACAAAGAUCUACCUCAAACGAUACAAAACCCCAAAUCUCAAAAUUAGCAACGAAAUUUUGCAAACAACCUCCAAAAGACCCAAAUCGUGACUUUACAAAAAAAAAACUAAAAAUUGAAACAAAUCGAACCAUCAUCAUCAAUAAAUUCAAGCAAUCUAAAGGAGGCUCCUACUCAGUUAAUCACGACAAACAUGCAGGCACAAUCAAUUUGGAUCCAAACAUGAAGAAAUUUACCUGACCGAAGCUAGUUCAACGAAGUUCUCUCCGGCAACCCUCAGAUAACUCUAUUUCCUCUUCUUUUCGGUUUUACGAUGGCCUCCUCCUUCUGUUUUGAUGUUGUGUUAUCCUUUAAUGUUAGGGUUUUUUGUGUUUUUUACAAAAUAUUUUUUGAUUUGUUCUGCUCGGAUCCUCAAAAACGUGUGUUCUGUUUCUUUUGAGUUAACAAAGAAAAGAUUACUUUGACAAUUUCUUCUGGAUUUUAUUAAAACGUGUUACUGUUAAUUAGUUUUGUGGUUUAUAUACAUGAAUGUUGGUUUAUGUGAUAUAACUUGUUGGAUCCUAUUUCCAGAUUUUGUGGUAUGAUUAAUCUAUGGAUUUAAAGUUGUUUAUUUGGAUAAUGCAGUGUGUUUCUGAGCGCUUCCUUUGAUUCAUUGUGUAACAUAUUAAUUUGCUCUUUCUAUUAAUUAUUUUCCAGGUUUUUAAGUGCUUAUUUGAUAAGAUGUUUUUAAUUUUGAAUUGGUUUUGCAGGUUAAGUGAUAUUGAUGCUGAUUGAUUGAAAAAGGGGCGCUGUUAUUCAACAGGUUUUGGAAAAGUUCUGAAGAGUUGCUUUUGAAUUGGGAACUUCCAAAAGAGCUUUUGGAAAAGUCUGUGAAAUUUGCUUCAAACUGCUGUGUUUACAGCUUAUUCCAAUUUUUUUAAUAAAAUUAUUUCUGAUGUAACAGAGACUUUUUGGAUUAUGAACUUAGGGACUGCUUGUAACAUGUACAAAUUUAAUUUGGAAUUUCUCUUUUUGGACAAUUAUGUAAUUGUUUUGGAUUAUUAGGAAUUUGGGAUUAGUUAGGAUAUAUUAAACUGUAAGAAAAAUUGGGUUAGACGUGUAACCCUUUGGAUCAUUUGCAAAAUUUACAUAAUUUUAAUUUAAGUUUUUUUGUUAUUUAUGUGGAUACUUUUGGGUUAUUAUGUAACAUUUGGAUUAAAUAGGAAUAUGAUUUGGGAAUAUUAUUUGUGUAAUUAGUCUCUCUUUCUUUUUUUUUUAAAGAAAAAUUAAACUUUGUCUUAAC